ACAAACGUGAAGCGUUAUCAAUCCCGUACAAAAUCAUUACCAAUACUUUUGAAAUUAGUUUUACUGUCUCUCCCUCUCGAAUAACGCAUACUGGAUAUUUACCUUCUCUUUUGUAAAGAAACUAUUCUAAUUUGUGAACGUGAUUAUUAUUGAAGUGAAAUUCAUAUUUUAUCAUAACGCAAACCUUACAUAAUGCCAAAUCACUAUGCUGUGUUUGGGUGUAAUAAUAAUGCUCAUAACGACAAGACUGUGAAGUUUUAUCGUUUCCCUCAUAAUAUUCCAUGAAUGCUAGGAGAUUAUUGACAGGAUGAUUAAGAAUUAGCCAGUGAAAGGAGAAAACGCAGGGUCAUUUUUUUGAAAAGAGAUAACCUUAAAAUUGAAAACCUAGACAGUCAGCGGAUAUGCUCUGAGCACUUCGUAAACAGAGCACCAGCGCAGCUAAAACGUCUCCAACGUCAAUUUGGUUCUGGAGUUGAACAAAUUAAAGCUGGAACAGAACUGAAGAAAAAAGAUGACGACUUAGAUAAGCUAACCAAAAAAAUGACGAAUUGUUAUUGAAGAAGAUCAGUUUCACUGAUAACGAGAAAAAAAUCAAGAUUUUACACUUUUGAGCCUUCGGCUUUCAGGCUUCAAAGUUCAAAGAUGGCAAAAUUUGAAAGUUCUCUCAAUUUUUGAGCGUCAAGUUGCAAACGUGUUUCCAAUUCCGAACACCCACUUCGUUAUUUUAUUGCAUUUUCCAAAUUUGUAAUAUUUUCGUCAAAAAAAUUCACAAGACUACCACUACAAUCUAUGUACGAAAGAAUACCGGUAAUAUAUGUAACGAACAUAUAGUCACAAACUCGCCAUGGGAAUUACCAAUGACCCGACUAACCAGCACAAAAAAGAAACACAAAUAAUAUGUAAAUAAUACGCCUUUACUUUUGAGAAUAACAAUCAAAGAUACAUCAUUAUUGAUCAAAUUCAAAGCAACAACACUGACUAGAUAAUUAAUUAACGUACAAUUGGUAGGAAAUAAGAUGUAUUCGUCGCAUAGCGUAAAUGCUGUAAAAUAAUAUUAAUCAAAAUUGCUAAAGGAAAAUAAUUAUGUUGGUAAUUAAUAAGUACAUAAUAAUUAUAUUAAAAACAUAAUCUCAGUCGCAGAUAAAAUCUUUUUGAUGAAAUAAAAUCAAAAUGUUCGCGAGAAAAAAAUUCAUUCGACGCGAUCGACCUUCACAUAUACACCAAGUACUGAAACACUGUUUUCGGUUAAUGAAAUCGAAAUAUGUACCAUGAAACUGAGAUGUUUUCAUAGGCCUUCUACUUAUUUUUACUUUAGGAAUUGAAAAAUAUGAUUCACACCGCGCUCAUUAAUUUCAUAAUAAAAAUACAGUACGGUAAAUCAAUUAUUUAAAAUUCAAAAUGUUUGCCGCAAAUAUCUGAAUAGUAAUUUUAUUCAUAAAUUUUCAAAGCAUCUACACUUGAAACAAAAAUGUUCUAGAAAAAGCCCCAUUAAUGUCAUUUUUUUAAAUUCAUAAAAUAUCGAUUAUCACUGCAACUAUUGCUUUUCCAUUAUUCAAUUGGACAACCGGUUGUGCUAACCAACGUAAAUUUUUCCGAGUUUUUUCAAAUGGUCAUUAGUGUAAUAAAUGAAGAUUUUCAUGCCAAGGUGUUAAUGCGAUCUUUCAUCUACAUAAGCAAGGUUGAAGAACAUUCUUGAGAAACAAGAAACAACUCCACAUUUAUUUACACAAAAUUUAGAUAUUGCUACAAAU